GACGUAGGGCGCGAGCGUUGUCCGGAUUUAUUGGGCGUAAAGAGCUCGUAGGCGGCUUGUCGCGUCGACCGUGAAAACUUGGGGCUCAACCCCCAAGCCUGCGGUCGAUACGGGCAGGCUCGAGUUCGGUAGGGGAGACUGGAAUUCCUGGUGUAGCGGUGAAAUGCGCAGAUAUCAGGAGGAACACCGAUGGCGAAGGCAGGUCUCUGGGCCGAUACUGACGCUGAGGAGCGAAAGCGUGGGGAGCAACAGG
rnacentral:rRNA from 1 species